ACUGUCUAUGAUGAUAACCUACUCCCAUUGGUUGAGUUUAACGACCAUGAAAAAACUCACAUGCACUACCAUCUGAGACAAG